AGAGUUUGAUCCUGGCUCAGAGCGAACGUUAGCGGCGGGCCUAACACAUGCAAGUCGAGCGAGAAAGGGGCUUCGGCCCUGAGUAAAGUGGCGUACGGGUGAGUAACACGUGGAUCAUCUACCUCUUAGUGGGGAAUAACCCUGGGAAACCGGGGCUAAUACCGCAUAAGCUCGAGAGAGGAAAGCAGCAAUGCGCUGAGAGAGGAGUCCGCGGCCGAUUAGCUAGUUGGCAGGGUAAAAGCCUACCAAGGCAUAGAUCGGUAGCCGGCCUGAGAGGGCACACGGCCACACUGGCACUGAAACACGGGCCAGACUCCUACGGGAGGCAGCAGUGGGGAAUCUUGCACAAUGGGGGCAACCCUGAUGCAGCGACGCCGCGUGAGCGAUGAAGCCCUUCGGGGUGUAAAGCUCUUUCGGCAGGGAAGAUAAUGACGGUACCUGCAGAAGCAGCUGCGGCUAACUACGUGCCAGCAGCCGCGGUAAUACGUAGGCAGCGAGCGUUGUUCGGAGUUACUGGGCGUAAAGGGUGUGUAGGCGGUUGUUUAAGUUUGGUGUGAAAUCUCCCGGCUCAACUGGGAGGGUGCGCCGAAUACUGAAUGACUUCGAGUGCGGGAGAGGAAAGUGGAAUUCCUGGUGUAGCGGUGAAAUGCGUAGAUAUCAGGAGGAACACCGGUGGUGUAGACGGCUUUCUGGACCGUAACUGACGCUGAGACACGAAAGCGUGGGUAGCAAACAGGAUUAGAUACCCUGGGUAGUCACGCCCUUAACGAAGCAUAUUUGGUGUUGGCAGUUCAUUCUGUCCGUGCCGGAGCUAACGCGUUAAAUAUGCCGCCUGGGGAGUACAGUCGCAAGGCUGAAACUCAAAGGAAUGACGGAAGGCGAAUCGCGCGCACCCC
rnacentral:rRNA from 1 species